CAGCAAAGUUACAAACAGCCCCCAGCCCGCCCGCCCGCCCGGCAGAUUAAUGGGCGCACACAGCCAGCCGGCCGGGCUCUCCUCCCGAACGCCAGCGGCGGGCACGGCCAGUGAAGGGGCGUGCAGAUCAAGCCUGGGGCCUGGGCCUUGCAGUCAAGAGCUGAAUGUUCGCCUGGAGCUCACCAGGACUCAGCCAGAUGUAGGCUCAUCUCUCCAGUACCCAUAUUCCACAUAAACGUUUUGUUUUGAGUCCCACGAGUACCUCUGCAAAGGCCCCUGAAUGUCCAGCUUCAAAGUACCCUCUCAGUUGGGCACCCUUACCUCAAUCCUUGAGCCCAGAGACUGGAGAGGACAGAAACCACUAGUUUAAAGGAAAAAGAAUGGACAGAGGAACAUCUGUGAGACUGGGCUCUGAAGCCAGCUUUGGGACCUGCUCCCCUUGCCCAGUACCCCGGGACUCAGGCUCAGGACUCUCCAUUUGGUGCCUGAACUGCUCAGAGCUGAUUCAGAUAAAAAUCCAGUUGUGGAAUCUUUAUGCUCUUCUUCCAGAGGUUCAGGAGAUGCACGGCCCCUGGCCAAGCUAUGGGUACAGAGGACAAAACAGAAGGGCCCAAGGACAGGGGGAUAAAAUUGAUGGGCUUGGUUUCCAGGGCCUGGACAGCCAGCACUGUCCUGGGGUGCUCCCUCUUUACUGCCCUUCUUAGGACUGCUCUGAGGGCUGCAACCCACAGUUGCUCCAGAACCGGGAAUAGUUAUCUCACUGGAUCCAGAAAUCCUGAAUUGCCUUUACCGCCGCCAUUCCAGGCCUGGCUGUCCCCAGAUAUCACAUGAAAAGCCUGUCCUGGGCUGCUCUCUCUUGCCUGAGAGGGGUGCCUUACAGAUAGCUGACUUUUUACAGCACUUGGAUCAAUCUCCUCGUUUUGUAAAAUGUGGUAUCGGCCCAAUGGCAUUUUUAUGACUGUGUUUGUUGAGCUUGUAAAAUCUCUGAAUUAGCUUUAAAAUCCUCAGUUCUGUGGAGAUUGAAGAAAUACUAUUUACACUAUUUGGUUGGAUUUCUGGAGACUGUUUAUAAGAUCUGUAGAACGCUGGACAAUGCAGGCUGUUCAGUACUUAGUGGGGGAGCUGGCAAUUGACAAUGAUCCCUCAGGAAUCUGGUAACGACUUAAUCUCUUUCUUGCUUUUUGAUUUUUUUAUUUCCUGAUCUCCCUUCCCCCAAAGGGAAAAAAAUUGGGAAAGGACUGUCCUAAGGUCCAUCUUCACCUGGGAGGGCACCCCAGAAGGCGGUUGCAUGUCUGCAAAUGGGUGCUGCAUCUGUAAGCUUUGUCCCUGAGCCCCAGUCAGUCCAUUCAGAAAGGGCCUGAGGUGAGGAUAGAAUCUGACAUUUCCCUCACGUUUCUUUAGUAGAAAGAUUUAAGAAGUGAAAAUGAAAACUCCGAAGUAAAAAAAUAAACGGGGAAUUUUUUAAAACUGAAGAAAAUCAUGUUUGAGUUAUUUUUGGACUGAUUACCAGCUAGUUAUUAGAUAAAAAUGACUGUUUGGGGGGCGUUGAUAAAUGUUUAUAUUUAUAUUUUUCUUUUAUUUCUCCACAUCCCACACAGAGUUGGGGGUGGUGUCAGUUUUCUAUUAUUCGUUAUGAGCUUGAUCUUUUUUACCUACUAAUUGUCCCAGUCAAUGAGAGAAUUUGACUUCUCAGCUUAAGAGGCAGAAAAUAUUUCAUUUCUUAGCUUCUGUAGGCACUAAGAUGGAAAAAAAUACACUAAAUUGAAAUCUUUACGUGUAAGCCAAGCUAGUGCAUAUCAUGUUGGCAGCUGACCAAUUUAUUUCUCCAACCAGCUAUGUAUAUAGGGGGGCGAGGUGUGGGAUAUAUUCAGACAAGAGACGAGCCCCAGACCCACCAGAGAGCCUUUCUGGAAUGAUGAGACUGGCCAACCCUGGGCUCUCCUCUGUCAAAGCCGCAGUAAAGCCAACUUACCUUUUAGCUUCUCUCCAAGGGGGGCAGGAUGUCGAGCAGGGCCCCACAGUCUGUCCUUGCUCUGGGCUGCCCAUUGAGCUCCUCAACCUCUUCCGCCAGCCUAAGGCAAGGCCUGGAAGUAUGUGGGUGUGGGACUUCAAAGGCCACCGCAGUCCGGCUAGAUCGCUAGUCCAGGCCAGAGCCCAAAGCACACAGGUGCAGCCUCUGCCCGUCACAGGCCCUCUACUGGAGCCAAAGUACGCCUUCCUUGCCAUAGCCAGUACUCCUCAGGGCCAGCCAGGCCUGCAGGCCUCAGGACUACAAGUGGCCUCUCCGAUUUCAGAAUCCUAAAGCCAGAGCAUUCCCCGAACCAGCGUCUGUCCCCAAGGCGUCUUGGGACGCUCAGUUUGGACAGAAGCAGCCAUGACGUGCCAGGCAGCCUGUGCAACCAGUCUCCAUGGUGCUGGGGUGUGGGGUGGGGGAGGAAUCGUGUCUAUUCCGGCUUCCAGCUCCUGUCAGGGGUGGCCGAGGCGGGGAUAUUCCUGGCCAAAUAGGCCCUAGGAGACUGCCCCCCCACCCAGGUCCUCUUUGUCCCCCUUUCCCUGCCUGCUGGUAAAUCUCUGAGGGACCAAUACAGCAGUCGCGCCAGGCUGCAAGAAGCGAGCUGCGGCUGGCGCCGGUCCCCGCAAUGGCCACAGCGUGGCAGCAGCGAGCUCCCAGCCCGGUCACAAUAAAUUAUCUGCCCGCGGCAGCUGCAGUCUGGAAGCCAGCGGCCCUAGGAUACAAAUGCGCCGCUUUAUCAGCCCAAAGCGCACCCAGGGCACUGAUGAAAGUCCCAAACAUACACAGCCCCUUCUUAAAUAUCUAAUGCCUACCAACAUAGUACCUCAAGAUGGGAAACAACGAUCAUAACACAACAAACAAACAAAAACAUCCAAACAGUACCCCAGCGAAGAACCUUGGAUCUUUUCUUGUCUCUAUCCCAGGAGUUUCCUGGGCAAAUUUGGUCGAUUCGCACCUAGGCCAAGCUACAGUUCGUGCCAUCACGCUAUGCAAAGCCACUGACAGCCUCAUCCUUCACGCCUCCUGCCAGGCAGCUCCACAGUCCUGUCCCCCUUCGCGGGAGGUGGGGAACGCUGUUGCCAGUCUGCAGUUCCGAGAUGGGUUGGGAGGCGGUCCCCCUAUCGCCCAGAAUCGGUUUUAGUCCUUUCUUCAAGCUUAGCUGUGGGCCCCUGCCACCGCGCUUAAACCGGCCACAACGUCUUUUGCACCGAAACUUCCGGCCAAUAACACCCAGCCAAUUAACCCCAUUCUCUCCUCCAACACAGAAUUCCAACCACGCACCUAGUCCCUCUCUCAACGCUUCAGACACCUCUCUCAUCCGAGAACUCUGCUAAAGGAAGCAGGCGAUCAGCGGAGACCGUUGGCUGAAUUAGUAAGUUUUUGUUUUUCCUGGUUCUACCUCUCUUUCCCCAAAACCAAUUCCCACGGAAUAGAGGUGUUUGCUGAUGUUAAUAAAAUGCCUAUGGAUUAAUGCACUUUGCCUUCACCUCUUCCCACAUUCCCAGGUCGGGAAUUGUCUCCUGUUGGGGAAUUCAAUCAAACUACUUGGGCCAUGAAUGAAAAAAUUAAAAUGCAAACCCAAGAGACUAGUGGGGGAUGCAGAGUACAAGGUCACUUCUACCUAGUGACCUACACCUAGGUCAAUUCUUUUAUUCCCAGGGUCUUCCGGGAAGGGGGGAGAAAGACCCAAGUGGUGCUGCCGCGUGCCAGCGCGCUGUGUCACGGAGAGGAGGGCGCUUACUGCCACGGUGCUCCAGGAAGAGGAGAGAGAGGGAGAGAGUGGUGUGUGUGUGUGUGUUGGGGGUGGUGGUGCUUGGGCUGUAGUGUGUGAUGAGGAUAGGGGACAAGUGUGAAUGGGUGAGUAUGGAUAAGAGUGGAUACGCCCCUCUUCAAAGCCACCCGUACCCUCUCCUACCGCUCCCGCAGCUGGCUGUCACCUCACCACCUUAGCUCCUGUCUCCUCCCCACAUGUCUCACCUUCAGAUGCCGACUCCCAGAAGCUCCUUCUGCUCUGACAGCUGUCGCUUGGGCAGCCCGGGAGACGAAUUGUCCUCCUUCCUGGUGCCAGAGGACGCAGGAAAUUAGCCAGGUUGCGACUUGCAAAGCUGCCGCCUCUGCGCCGGGAAUUGGGCGCGCCCCACCUCCAGCGGGAGCCGCCAGGCCUGGCCUGGCCGGGGCUUCCCCUCGCUCGCCAUCGCCGGACAAAGCGCAGCUGAGCUGGGCUGGAAGGCAGAGCUCUGAAGCAGGCAGGACGCAGCGGAGCAAAAGAAUGCGGCUCUAUUCUCGCAAGGGAAAUUAUAAAAAAGUUCAUGUUCACGGUUCCCAUCCACAUGACCGACAGCGGCCAAUGGAAGGGCCGAACAACUCAUAAAGUUGUAUUGCAAAGUUGUAAA